ensembl:lncRNA
GUUCUCAUUGACUGUCCUGCAUCAAACAGAAUAGCAAUGAGGGAUGACAGAAAAGCGUGGCAACCAAAAGCUGUGGUGAGAGCAGCUGGGGUGAUUUUCUGGUGAAAGAACAUUGUGGAGCAGAGGGAUCACCACUCAAUGUGCUACCUGGAAGGGGUAAAGAAGAAAGGUUCAAGAGAAGGAUAGGUCUAAUUAUUAGUAGUGAUUUUAAUAAUAGCUCGUCAAUCACUGAUUGUCCAUAGUUUAGGAAGAAAAGAAGUCACCAGGCUUUGAAGUCAGUCCAUCUGUCCGUGCUUUUGAAACGGGAAUUGGGAGUGCAGGUUCUCCAGUGUACACGUGAGGAACAGAGUUUGUCUCAAAAGCCAUUCUGCAAAAACGAGAAGCAGAAAAGCUGUCCAGACCUUCUUUCCAGUCAGGGAAGCACCCAGCAUUGCCUUACUGAUGGACAGAGGCCUACCACAUAUCCGCAUGCGCUCAUGAGGGGUAGGGCUAGAGAGCCAGGUUUUCUUUCAUGUGACUAUAGAUGUCACUUGCUGUAAGCUGUCCUCUUUCUCAAGUGGGACGAUUGAUGAGUUAAUGAAUAGGAGAGAGGUUAAUUGGCUGUUCCUUUCUCCAGAGCCAAAGGCAUGUUCGUGGCAGGACAGGGCACAACGUCCUCCAGAACGAAACGAAUGCAAAGGCCUUUGGCUUCCUGCUAAUGUUAACCUAGCACUCCUGGUCUGCCACCAAACCAGGCCUGUUCAACCCAUGGGCCAUGUAAUGUAUACUAACAGUUUUAUAUGCUUUUUAUGCAGCCUAACA